rnacentral:snRNA from 1 species
AUUAUGGAUAUAUUUACAAUAAU